rnacentral:rRNA from 1 species
UACGUAGGGGCAAGCGUUGUCCGGAUUUAUUGGGCGUAAAGAGCGUGUAGGCGGUUCGGUAGGUCCGUUGUGAAAACUCGAGGCUCAACCUCGAGACGCCGAUGGAAACCAUCGAACUAGAGUCCGGAAGAGGAGAGUGGAAUUCCUGGUGUAGCGGUGAAAUGCGCAGAUAUCAGGAAGAACACCCGUGGCUAAAGGCGGGCUCCUCUAGUAACGGUA